CUUUUACUAGGAAAACGUCUUACUGUUUUUGGAAAUUCAGCGGAAACUUGAAUUACAGGACCUUUUUUCACAGCAUAGAAACGUGCCGAAAUAGAAGCUACUAAAUGAUGGCUUCUGAAAUACCUAUGCAGGUGUAUGAAGGUACUACAGACGAGCAUUCAUACGAACAAAUCAAGGUCGAUAAGAAGGAAAAUAAUUUUAACUUGUCCAGAAAACAAUGGAUCAAUAUUUUUCUGUUAAUGCUUGCGUUGGCGACUGUUGGAAUAGGAUUUACCGUGACUUAUUUUACUUUACAUUCACUUAUUGAUUUGAAAAUGGCAAACCUGGAUAGAAGAAUAGAUGAGCUAUCACAAUCCAAUACGUCGAUAGCUGAAAUUUUCAAAAAGAUGGUUCCUGAAAAUUCAGAGAGAGGUCCCAGUUUGCGGGCUAGGUGUAUGUAGUUUUGUAUUGUAAAGUAUGGAGAUAUAGUACAGAUGGUGGUGAAACCUGUUGACAGUGCGGCGUUCCGUGUUUAUCAUCAAUAGUUUGGCAACAUAGAAUAUUUGGAGUCGAGUCUAGACAAUAGGGCAGCCGUAAUGUGUACACCGCUUAUGUUGGGCCAGUUUUGUGUAGUUACCGAAAACCAAAUACGUAAAAUUCCGUAGUAUCGUUUAUCCAGAUUUCAUAGUUUAAUAUAAAGAAGAAGGAACAGUUCAUUAAACAUUUGACAGUAUUAUUUCAUUUGAUUUCAUCUAUUUAUAUUUGUAAAUUUGUACCUAAUUAAAUUGUUAUUUGUUUAAA